GGGUAUGAAACCGCAACAGGUGUUUAAACUUAUCUGCAUACUCUGAGACUGUCAUAUUACCCUGAACCAGUUGCAAGAACUCAACCUCUUUGGCGAAUCGCACACUGUUAGGAAAGUAUUCCUCAUAGAACUUGGUUUUGAAAGUGUCCCAAGUGAUUGGAACAUUAGUACUCUCCAAUAAUGAUCUAGCACUNCUCCACCAAUGACUAGCAUCGC
rnacentral:lncRNA from 1 species